UCUGUCUCUCUCUCUUUCUGCAGCAUCGGACAACAGCCAGCGGUUUCAGGAAACGUGUUUUGCGUUCGCACUAACGCCGCAGCAAGUCCAACAGAUUAGCAGCUCAAUGGACAUCUCGGGGACCAAAUGUGACUUCACAGUACAAGUUCAAUUACGGUUUUGUCUCUCUGAGACGAGUUGUCCUCAGGAAGACCACUUUCCGCCCAAUCUGUGUGUGAAGGUGAACGGGAAGCCAUGCAACCUCCCGG